rnacentral:lncRNA from 1 species
UUGAGUUGGUUUACAUAAACAUCAUAAAAGAUCUAGGAUCAUGCAUUAAAAGGGAUACCUUACACAUAGGUCAAGCACAACCUCUAAUCCUCAAUAUCAUUACAUUACAUAACUAUUCAUAACUUUACAUUUUAUCAUGUCCACAUUCUAUCUAUUACAUACAAAUGACUUCAAUACUCUUGCUGACCUCCUGGCCUACCCUGUACCUGCAAACCUGGAGAAUUUGGGAGAGGGGUGAGCUACUAGAGCCCAGUGAGCAGAAUAAUAAAGCAUUUAAAACACAUGCUAUCAUGUAAUGCAUCACAUCACAACUAAUCAUAUCAAGGAUGAACUUGUCACCAUUUAGCCCUCUACAUAUUCCAAUCAUGCCAGGGGCGUAGUGCAGGCCACACCUGGUCUUUCUCUUAUACAUAACAUAACAUACAUAACCAAUGGUGCCGGGGGCGUAGUGCAGGCCACAUCCGGUCUUUCACUUACAUAGUGCCAGGGGCGUAGUGUAGGCCACACCUGGACUUCCAUAUCAUAUCAUCACGUCAUAACAUAUGAGGGCUAAUGGAUCAUUCAACAUUCAUCCACAUCAACAACAUAUUAUGCAAUGCAACAUAUUCGUGAUUUCUAAUGCAAACAACCUAAAAUAUCACAUGGCAUUCGUGAUGCAUGAACAUGCUCAAAACUGAUUUAUUUUCUUGAAACAUAAAGAGUUAUUCUACUCACCUCUGGCUAGCUCUGACACUGACUGAAGUAUCUGACUCACUGCUGAGGUCCUCGGUUCCUCGGGU